CUUCACCUAAGCUUCAGUAGCACUGUGCAUGGCCCUUUGAGUUCAUAUCUUCUAUUGGCGUCUGAAAACUAUCAUUUUUGGUCAGCUGAUAUCACUCUAUUCAUGCUAUCAAUUUUUCUUUCUCACUAUAUGGUAGUCCUUGACCUGUUUGUGUCAUCGGAGAAGGGAAUUUUCCUUUUUUUUCACUUUUAUCUUGUUUCCUUUUAAUAUAUUGGUUUUAGUUGUAUAUUACAGAAGGAUUGGACAUGGAGAUCUAAGAUGGAAGCGUUUGUGUAUAUACUGUACCUUUGUAUAUCUUUCCAAGUUCCAUCUUGCCUUAUCAUACAUUUUAAAAGAACAGUUGUUUUCUGAGUCAUUGGUGUACUUAUGUUGUGUUGUCACCAACCAUGAGUAUAUAACAGUUUGUUGGACAAAAGUAUUCUUGUGGUUUGUGCCAUGGUUGGGCACCAUCUUAAAUAUAAAAUGAUAACAUUGCAAACAUUUUUAUUUUGAAGGGCCAACAAGAAAGGAUUUCUUCCGGCAGCAUAACAAAGAACCCAUUGGGUGGAUGCAACACCCGAAUGCCUUUUUGACUAAAUCAUUUUAAUUAACUAAUUACAGUGGCGGAGCUAGAUGGGGAGGCAAAGGGCAAAUACAUCAAUUCUUGAGCAGUCCAAAAACUAUAAUUUGUUGAAUUAAGCACCCCCAAGAGUUCUUUAUUCACACAUUUUUUCAAGGUUGGGGGUUUAAUGGCAGAAGAUCAAGCACUCCGUCCUCUGCCAGGUCGCCGCCGCUGCUCGGGACGUAGACGCGCACAUGGGUCCGUCAGUCGCUGGCAAAGGAGGUCGAGUCCGUGCGGAGCACUGGUCUCCUCGCUGUCGUCGUCGUCCUCCCUGCUGCCAGCGACGCCCUCCUGUCUCCUCUGCACCAGUCUACUCCUUCAUAUUAUUUACAAAAGAAAAUGGUUUGGGGUGAAGAGUUGAAGGCUUGAAGCCAAAUGUUCCUAAUCAAGAAGAUGACCCGCACAACUCCCCUGAAACAAGGCCAGCACUAUGUGCCAAGAUUGAAGAUCCCAAAUAUGUUUACUUUGGUCCAAUAUCGUAUAGCAGUGUAAUGCUUCAGGCACUUUUUAUCAUUCAUUUUUAUUAUUCAAAUCUCUAUAUGGUUGCCAUAGAUGCUACUAUUACAUGGAUUUAUUACUAUUUUUCAUGUGUUGUUGAAAAUAGAACUCACUCA